rnacentral:rRNA from 1 species
UACAGAGGUCUCAAGCGUUGUUCGGAUUCAUUGGGCGUAAAGGGUGCGUAGGUGGCGCCGUAAGUCAGGUGUGAAAUUUCGGAGCUCAACUCCGAAACUGCAUUUGAUACUGCGGUGCUUGAGGACUGGAGAGGAGACUGGAAUUUACGGUGUAGCAGUGAAAUGCGUAGAGAUCGUAAGGAAGACCAGUGGCGAAGGCGGGUCUCUGGACAGUUCCUGACACUGAGGCACGAAGGCCAGGGGAGCAAACGGG